GGGGUGCUCGAGUGGCGAACGGGUGAGUAACACGUGAGUAACCUGCCCUUGACUUUGGGAUAACUUCAGGAAACUGGGGCUAAUACCGGGUAGGAGCUCCUGCUGCAUGGUGGGGGUUGGAAAGUUUCGGCGGUUGGGGAUGGACUCGCGGCUUAUCAGCUUGUUGGUGGGGUAGUGGCUUACCAAGGCUUUGACGGGUAGCCGGCCUGAGAGGGUGACCGGCCACAUCGGGACUGAGAUACGGCCCAG
rnacentral:rRNA from 1 species